UACGUAGGGUCCGAGCGUUGUCCGGAAUUAUUGGGCGUAAAGAGCUCGUAGGCGGUCUGUUGCGUCGGUUGUGAAAACCUGGGGCUCAACUCCAGGCCUGCAAUCGAUACGGGCAGACUAGAGUUCGGUAGGGGAGACUGGAAUUCCUGGUGUAGCGGUGAAAUGCGCAGAUAUCAGGAGGAACACCGGUGGCGAAGGCGGGUCUCUGGGCCGAUACUGACGCUGAGGAGCGAAAGCAUGGGGAGCGAACAGG
rnacentral:rRNA from 1 species